rnacentral:rRNA from 1 species
UACUGACGCUCAUGCACGAAAGCGAAUGGGGAGCAAACAGGAUUAGUAUACCCUGGUAGUCCACGCCCCUAAACGAUGUCAACUAGUUGUUGGGGAUUCAUUUCCUUAGUAACGUAGCUAACGCGUGAAGUUGACCGCCUGGGGAGUACGGUCGCAAGAUUAAAACUCAAAGGAAUUGACGGGGACCCGCACAAGCGGUGGAUGAUGUGGAUUAAUUCGAUGCAACGCGAAAAACCUUACCUACCCUUGACAUGGUCGGAAUCCUGCUGAGAGGCGGGAGUGCUCGAAAGAGAACCGGCGCACAGGUGCUGCAUGGCUGUCGUCAGCUCGUGUCGUGAGAUGUUGGGUUAAGUCCCGCAACGAGCGCAACCCUUGUCCUUAGUUGCUACGCAAGAGCACUCUAAGGAGACUGCCGGUGACAAACCGGAGGAAGGUGGGGAUGACGUCAAGUCCUCAUGGCCCUUAUGGGUAGGGCUUCACACGUCAUACAAUGGUCGGAACAGAGGGUUGCCAACCCGCGAGGGGGAGCUAAUCC